rnacentral:rRNA from 1 species
GACGAACCGUCCGAACGUUAUUCGGAAUCACUGGGCUUAAAGAGUGCGUAGGCGGCUUAUCAGGCGGGGUGUGAAAUCCCUCGGCCCAACCGAGGAAUUGCGCUCCGAACCGAUAGGCUUGAGGAGGAUAGAGGUAAGCGGAACAGAUGGUGGAGCGGUGAAAUGCGUUGAUAGUCAUCUGGAACACCUGUGGCGAAAGCGG